UAGAUCUUGCUACCCUGAUGAUCUUUGGGAC
rnacentral:piRNA from 1 species